rnacentral:rRNA from 1 species
AAAACAAUCCUACGGGAGGCAGCAGUGGGGAAUAUUGGACAAUGGGGGCAACCCUGAUCCAGCCAUGCCGCGUGAGUGAUGAAGGCCUUAGGGUUGUAAAGCUCUUUUAUCCGGGACGAUAAUGACGGUACCGGAAGAAUAAGCCCCGGCUAACUUCGUGCCAGCAGCCGCGGUAAUACGAAGGGGGCUAGCGUUGCUCGGAAUCACUGGGCGUAAAGGGCGCGUAGGCGGACAUUUAAGUCAGGGGUGAAAUCCCGGGGCUCAACCUCGGAAUUGCCUUUGAUACUGGGUGUCUCGAGACCGGAAGAGGUAAGUGGAACUGCGAGUGUAGAGGUGAAAU